ACCGUUCUCGACGUAUGUCUUCGAAUCCCGACUUCCCUUGUCUCUUCUCACGCCUAACGCUGGGUCGCCAAUCGUGGACGAGACCCUCUACUUCCGCUAAAACAGCUAAGGUAAGAGACGGCUGUUACACGUAUUCAUAUGCAGAAGCAACCAUCUGUACACCACGUCCAGUAAUCCUCUCUUAUGACAGCUCUUCCCAAAGAAAAAACAACUUCAUUUAUUCCAACCCUACGUACGCACGGAAGGCUGCAUGGAAGCUGCAUUUGACGUGCCUAAGGUAUGUAUGUACCACUCCCAGGGUGCAUGGGAGCGAGGCAGCAUUAGAGAUUUGAUACUUUGGGCCGUCACCCCCUUUGGUUCGUAAGCCAGGUCUCAUUGCCCCUCAUAGCAUGUAUAAUACGUAAUUGCGGUUUGGCAGGGGGUGACGGCUUAUAUGGGAGACCCAUAUGGGAGACCCAGCCACCCCCGGGCCCCAGUGCUUAGCGAGCGCGUGGAUACCUUAGAACAGCCGUCUUACGUGCCAACAACACCGAUUUCCAUUCUCAAGAGAAAGCGCACUACAGGAUCCGGCGCACUCUGUCUUUGCGUCAAAAAUUAGUAGAAUAUCUCACCAUCUGACGUGUACAGCAUGACAGAGCACCUUCCCACACGCACGCAUUCGCACGUCGUCAACACCGUACAGCAUUCGCCACGAACGAUUACCUGAACUGUCACCAACCUGAAUCACCGUGUCUGUUUGUGACAAUGCUGAAGAGUCAUUCUGUGGUCUGGUCCGUAAACCAUACAAUCAACACGCAUUGAAAACAACUUAAACUAUCGAUGUCGUAACAUGCGCCGCCGUGAAUUGAAGGACUAUAAAUAGUAUUGGCCGUACGCGGCAGCCCCGAUCUCUCCAGUCAAGGUCAAUAAAGGAUCAUAUCAUGGUCUCAGGUAUCCAUGGUUCCAUGUCAUCGCAAUUCCCCCAGGCUUAAGGGGGCAGCUGUGUCAGAUAGGGUCCUGUAAUUUCGAGGUUGCCAAAUAACAAUUUUAACCAUCAGAACAGCGAGUUGUACAUCGGCGUGCAUGUGUUCAGGCGCAACUUUGAUAGUCGGAUAAUAAUGCUGUCCUACUAUAGCAACACACGUAGGCAAUGUUACCUCCUAAUAACACGGUCAUUUGGCUGGGGACCCGAUGUUAGAUGGGAUGGCAUGCAGUCUCUACGCUGUUUGCAGGCCUUACCUGGACGUUCAACGCUAGAAAGCUAAACCCAAGUGCCUUACAGAGGGUCAUUCCAUCAUCUCAGACCCCCUCCCUCCUCCAGCUGUCAGAUCUCAAACCCAGCACCAGAUCGGCCCUUAGCCUUUGCCACAAGGACAGCGAAAGUGUCGCCGCACCGACACCACACCAGGGCGACCCUGAAUGUACAAAAUGGUGUCCACACCACCCCAAACCGACCCGCCGAAAUGUAGCUGCUUAGGAUGCUGUACAAAGAGAAUUGCGACUGUACGGAUUUUGAAUGCAU
rnacentral:lncRNA from 1 species